CGGUCCUAUUUGGAAUGCACACAAAUGGCAUAGAUCUCAAUUCAUAUUGCCCAUCAAUGAAUCAAUCGAGUGAUAUGUGAUGAAGCAUCCGAGUCGAUUAUAUAUCCAUGAAUUUAUAAAAUUAAACACCUUACUAGUGAAGUUUAAUAGGUCACCAGCUAGGCCUUGUCCUAGUAGGCUCAGUAGCUAAUCAUACUGCACUGCACUA
rnacentral:lncRNA from 1 species